rnacentral:ncRNA from 1 species
ACAAUCCGACAGGGGAGCGCACAGAGCGCUGAGAGUGCGGCCCGGCCGCAGACCCUCGGACCUGAUCCGGGUCAUACCGGCGUAGGGAGUCAGCUCACUCAUGAA